rnacentral:ncRNA from 1 species
UUUUUGUUUGCUAACAUCGGCCCGCAACCGGGGUGGUUCGAGGGAAGCCGGUGCAAGUCCGGCGCGGCCCCCGCCACUGUAACCGGGGACGGAAGCUCGAAAAGCCACUGGGGCGUGCGGUGGAAGCUGGCGUCCUGGGAAGGCGAGCUUACCGGGUGAUCCGGAGCCAGGAGACCUGCCACCCCAAAAAAACGCAC